rnacentral:rRNA from 1 species
UGCAAGUCGCACGGAACCAAAUUGGUAGUAAUACUCGUUUGGUUCAGUGGCGCACGGGUGAGUAACACGUGAAUUACAUGCCCUUCAGUGGGGAAUAGCCCAGGGAAACUUGGAUUAAUACCCCAUGGUAUCGCAAGAUUAAAGGUGGCCAGCAAUGGCUGUCGCUGAAGGAUUGGUUCGCGCCCUAUCAGCUUGUUGGUGAGGUAACGGCUCACCAAGGCUACGACGGGUACCUGGUCUGAGAGGACGAUCAGGCACACUGGAACUGAGACACGGUCCAGACACCUACGGGUGGCAGCAGUCGAGAAUAAUUCACAAUGGGGGCAACCCUGAUGGUGCAACGCCGCGUGAAGGAUGACGGUCUUCGGAUUGUAAACUCCUGUCAUCCGGGAGUAAGACCUGGCUGUGAAUAGCAGACAGGGUUGAUAGUACCGGAAGAGGAAGGGACGGCUAACUUCGUGCCAGCAGCCGCGGUAAUACGAAGGUCCCGAGCGUUGUUCGGAAUCACUGGGCGUAAAGGGAGCGUAGGCGGCGCGGUAAGUCAGAUGUGAAAUCCCGGGGCUCAACCCCGGAACUGCAUCCGAUACUGCCGUGCUAGAGGAUUGGAGAGGUAGCUGGAAUUCUUGGUGUAGCAGUGAAAUGCGUGGAGAUCAAGAGGAACACUCGUGGCGAAAGCGAGCUACUGGACAAUAUCUGACGCUGAGGCUCGAAGGCCAGGGUAGCGAAAGGGAUUAGAUACCCCUGUAGUCCUGGCAGUAAACGGUGCACGCUUGGUGUGAGGGGAAUCGACCCCCCUUGUGCCGGAGCUAACGCGUUAAGCGUGCCGCCUGGGAAGUACGGUCGCAAGACUAAAACUCAAAGAAAUUGACGGGGACCCGCACAAGCGGUGGAGUAUGUGGCUUAAUUCGAUGCAACGCGAAGAACCUU